rnacentral:rRNA from 1 species
GACGAACGCUGGCGGCGUGCCUAAUACAUGCAAGUCGAGCGCAGGAAGUCGACGGAACCCUUCGGGGGGAAGUCGACGGAAUGAGCGGCGGACGGGUGAGUAACACGUAAAGAACCUGCCCUCAGGUCUGGGAUAACCACGAGAAAUCGGGGCUAAUACCGGAUGGGUCAUCGGACCGCAUGGUCCGAGGAUGAAAGGCGCUCCGGCGUCGCCUGGGGAUGGCUUUGCGGUGCAUUAGCUAGUUGGUGGGGUAAUGGCCCACCAAGGCGACGAUGCAUAGCCGACCUGAGAGGGUGAUCGGCCACACUGGGACUGAGACACGGCCCAGACUCCUACGGGAGGCAGGAGUAGGGAAUCUUCCACAAUGGACGAAAGUCUGAUGGAGCAACGCCGCGUGAACGAUGAAGGCCUUCGGGUCGUAAAGUUCUGUUGUAAGGGAAGAACAAGUGCCGCAGGCAAUGGCGGCACCUUGACGGUACCUUGCGAGAAAGCCACGGCUAACUACGUGCCAGACGCCGCUGUAAUAC